rnacentral:rRNA from 1 species
UACAGAGGGUGCAAGCGUUGUUCGGAAUUAUUGGGCGUAAAGGGUGCGUAGGCGGUGCGGUAAGUCUGUAGUGAAAUCUCUGGGCUCAACUCAGAGUCUGCUAUAGAAACUGCCGUGCUUGAGUGUGGGAGAGGUGAGUGGAAUCCCGGUGUAGCGGUGAAAUGCGUAGAUAUCGGGAGGAACACCUGUGGCGAAAGCGGCUCACUGGACCACAACUGACGCUGAUGCACGAAAGCUAGGGGAGCAAACAGG